GAUGAAGAACGCAGCGAAAUGCGAUACGUAAUGUGAAUUGCAGAAUUCAGUGAAUCAUCGAGUCUUUGAACGCACAUUGCGCCCCCUGGUAUUCCGGGGGGCAUGCCUGUCCGAGCGUCAUUGCUGCCCUCAAGCACGGCUUGUGUGUUGGGCCUCCGUCCUCCUCCCGGGGGACGGGCCCGAAAGGCAGCGGCGGCACCGCGUCCGGUCCUCGAGCGUAUGGGGCUUCGUCACCCGCUCUUGUAGGCCCGGCCGGCGCUUGCCGACACAUCAAUCUUUUUUCCAGGUUGACCUCGGAUCAGGUAGGAUUACCCGCUGAACUUAAGCAUAUCAAUAAGCGGAGGA
rnacentral:misc_RNA from 1 species